UUAGAGUUUGAUCCUGGCUCAGGAUGAACGCUAGCUACAGGCUUAACACAUGCAAGUCGAGGGGCAGCGGGAUUGAAGCUUGCUUCAAUUGCCGGCGACCGGCGCACGGGUGAGUAACGCGUAUCCAACCUUCCGUACACUCAGGGAUAGCCUUUCGAAAGAAAGAUUAAUACCUGAUGGUAUGAUGAGAUUGCAUGAUAGCAUCAUUAAAGAUUUAUCGGUGUACGAUGGGGAUGCGUUCCAUUAGGUAGUAGGCGGGGUAACGGCCCACCUAGCCAACGAUGGAUAGGGGUUCUGAGAGGAAGGUCCCCCACAUUGGAACUGAGACACGGUCCAAACUCCUACGGGAGGCAGCAGUGAGGAAUAUUGGUCAAUGGACGAGAGUCUGAACCAGCCAAGUAGCGUGAAGGAUGAAGGUCCUACGGAUUGUAAACUUCUUUUAUAAGGGAAUAAACCCUCCCACGUGUGGGAGCUUGUAUGUACCUUAUGAAUAAGCAUCGGCUAACUCCGUGCCAGCAGCCGCGGUAAUACGGAGGAUGCGAGCGUUAUCCGGAUUUAUUGGGUUUAAAGGGAGCGCAGACGGGUCGUUAAGUCAGCUGUGAAAGUUUGGGGCUCAACCUUAAAAUUGCAGUUGAUACUGGCGUCCUUGAGUGCGGUUGAGGUGUGCGGAAUUCGUGGUGUAGCGGUGAAAUGCUUAGAUAUCACGAAGAACUCCGAUUGCGAAGGCAGCACACUAAUCCGUAACUGACGUUCAUGCUCGAAAGUGUGGGUAUCAAACAGGAUUAGAUACCCUGGUAGUCCACACGGUAAACGAUGGAUACUCGCUGUUGGCGAUAUACUGUCAGCGGCUUAGCGAAAGCGUUAAGUAUCCCACCUGGGGAGUACGCCGGCAACGGUGAAACUCAAAGGAAUUGAC
rnacentral:rRNA from 1 species